rnacentral:rRNA from 1 species
ACUCGCCUGCACGAAGUUGGAAUUGCUAGUAAUCGUGGAUCAGCAUGCCACGGUGAAUACGUUCCCGGGUCUUGUACACACCGCCCGUCACACCAUGGGAGCCGGUAAUACCCGAAGUCAGUAGUCUAACCGCAAGGAGGACGCUGCCGAAGGUAGGAUUGGCGACUGGGGUGAAGUCGUAACAAGGUAUC